rnacentral:lncRNA from 1 species
CUGGUUUUGAAGAUGGAGAAAAUGGGUGAUGAACUAAGAAACAUGGAUGGCCUUGGGAACCUGGAAAAGGGUCACUGAAAUGCGAUGAUGUGAAUUCAAGGAGGCUAUUUAUGACCAUGUCAUUUGCAACAUGAAGAAAGCUUAUCUGGAGUGAAAGUAAGUGAGACCAACAGGGAUAAGAGACCCAGAGAAAUCUUAGUUACACUGCUUGAAUCCUACACAUACUAACAAAAGGCCACAUGAGGACACAGUGAGAAGUUGGAAGUCUACAACCCAGAAGAGAGCCCUUAACAGAACCUAACCAUGCUGGUACCCUGAUCUCAGACAUCCAGCCUCCAGAAGAGUGAAAAAAUGUAAUUCUUAUUUCUAAGCA